rnacentral:rRNA from 1 species
AGAGUUUGAUCCUGGCUCAGGACGAACGCUGGCGGCGUGCUUAACACAUGCAAGUCGAACGGAAAGGCCCCCACCUUGGUGGGGGUGCUCGAGUGGCGAACGGGUGAGUAACACGUGGGUGAUCUGCCCUGUACUUCGGGAUAAGCUUGGGAAACUGGGUCUAAUACCGGAUAGGACCAUGGUUUAGUGUCUCAUGGUGGAAAAAUUAUUGUUUUGGUGCAGGAUGAGCUCGCGGCCUAUCAGCUUGUUGGUGGGGUAAUGGCCUACCAAGGCGUCGACGGGUAGCCGGCCUGAGAGGGUGGACGGCCACAUUGGGACUGAGAUACGGCCCAGACUCCUACGGGAGGCAGCAGUGGGGAAUAUUGCACAAUGGGCGCAAGCCUGAUGCAGCGACGCCGCGUGGGGGAUGACGGCCUUCGGGUUGUAAACUCCUUUCGUUAGGGACGAAGCCACACCUUUUUUGGGUGUGGUGACGGUACCUUUGUUAAGAAGCACCGGCUAACUACGUGCCAGCAGCCGCGGUAAUACGUAGGGUGCGAGCGUUGUCCGGAAUUACUGGGCGUAAAGAGCUCGUAGGUGGUUUGUUGCGUCGUCUGUGAAAUUCCGGGGCUUAACUUCGGGGUGGCAGGCGAUACGGGCAUAACUAGAGUGCUGUAGGGGAGACUGGAAUUCCUGGUGUAGCGGUGGAAUGCGCAGAUAUCAGGAGGAACACCGAUGGCGAAGGCAGGUCUCUGGGCAGUAACUGACGCUGAGGAGCGAAAGCAUGGGGAGCGAACAGGAUUAGAUACCCUGGUAGUCCAUGCUGUAAACGGUGGGCGUUAGGUGUGGGGACCGGUUUGGUUUCUGUGCCGUAGCUAACGCAUUAAGCGCCCCGCCUGGGGAGUACGGCCGCAAGGCUAAAACUCAAAGGAAUUGACGGGGGCCCGCACAAGCGGCGGAGCAUGCGGAUUAAUUCGAUGCAACGCGAAGAACCUUACCAAGGCUUGACAUGCGCCCCGGGCGCGCGGAGACGCGCGCGCAUUUGGUUGGGGGUGUGCAGGUGGUGCAUGGUUGUCGUCAGCUCGUGUCGUGAGAUGUUGGGUUAAGUCCC